CUUACACGGUCCUUGCGUCGAUAGCAAACUUCUAUAUAGUUAUAGUAUUGACUGAAGAGUAACGAUGCUAGAAAUUCUGCUACUUAUUAUUUAAUCAAGGAGAAUAGAAUGUGCUGGAUGAUUUUCUGGAAGGAAUCAGUUAAAGCAGUUGCCAACGUGCCAAAAUUAAUACCAUCACCAACAUGCAGAAACGUGUUGAUGCAGGGCUUGUUCUACUGAAGAUUUCGUACAAUAAGUCGGCGCUUUGGAAAAAGGUAUUAUUAUAUUUAAGAUUAUAUUUAGUUCCGAUUUUUUCAUAUAAAAUUGAUGACGUGCCAAUGUUAUUUGUUGUCCGUUUUAUAUUUUUGCAUUACAGAGUAUUAUAUUACGAGUAUUACAAGAAUAGUUUACUGAUUCUCGAUACGAUGGUUAAAUAAUAUUUCAAAUUGUGCUAUUUACAAGCUACGCUAUUUUUAUUAGGGUAAUUCAAUAUUCGUAGACGAGUUAGGCUAUUGAAAUCAUAUUCAGUGUUUAAUCAAUGUAAAAAUAUGUUAUAUUAGCGCUUGUUUCUAACUAGCUCAAUACAGGGUAUGUCUAUGUAGUUGCGAGUCGAAAUGAGGCAAGAUACUGUAAGCUCAUGUCUUAAAUUAGGCAGCAGUGUACGCGCUGUUAUAUUUAUUGACUCCUUAUUUAGUCAAAAAAAUAGAGAAUACGUUACUUAAAUCAUUAAGUUAAACGUUAACAUUAUAUUAAUGCACUUGAUUGUAUUACUUUACGUUGCAAUACUUAGAAACGCGAGUAUUUGCUUAUAUAGUCCAAUAACAUUUAGAGAAUACUCUACUUAAAUAUUAACUUAAAUGUUAACAUUAUAUUACUGCACUUGACUGUAUUACUUUACGUUGCAAUACUUAGAAACGCGAGUAUUUGCUUAUAUAGUCCAAUAACAUUUAGAGAAUACUCUACUUAAAUAUUAACUUAAAUGUUAACAUUAUAUUAGGGCAUUUCACUGUAUUACUUUAAGUUGCAAUACUUACCAACGCCAUUAUUUGCUUAUUUCGUCCAAAAAAAUUUAGAGAAUACGGUACUUAAAUAAUUAACUUAAAUGUUAACAUUAUAAUAGGACACGAUAUUUCUUUAGUAAAAAUAAUACUGCCGUUGUAAUAAUAAUAAUGCAAAGAGCGACAAGAAUAUCAUGAUAACAAUCAAUUUUACAUAAAUUAUUCACUCUUACUAGUAGGCGGGCGUCUUGUGAGUCCGCACGGAUAGGCACCACCGCCCUGCCUAUUUCUGCCGUGAUGCCAUAACGCGUUACUAGCACCGAUUACACUGAAGUUUGGUGGCGGUAUUUACGUUAUUAAUAUCUACGGGCUCCAUUAACCAUUAAACUCCGGUAACCAUUUAAAACUAGGUGGGCUAUGAACUAGUCCAGCCAUCUGUGCAAUAAAAAAAAAAUUCGAUUGUAGAAUAAGUUAUUUUGCUUAUUUUCAAAUGUCGUUUCACAGUACGCCAGAAGCGAUACGACAUUCAAUUAAUAUUUUCUAUAUUUAAAACUACUGGAUUAAAAUAUAUGUCUAAUUCAGGGCUUUAUGUUUAAAUUAGUAAUUCUAAUGUAUUUUUAGCUUAUAAAAUCUUAUUCGCAUCAUAGUAUGGUAAUGAACGAUUAAUUUGCUUUUGAAGUACGCUACUCAAAUAAUCAUUGGCAUCCGCAAUUUAUUAACGCAGGGAUUACAAGUUUGAAGGAUGUGACAUGCGUCAUAGAACACAACUGAAACUUCGACCUCAUGUGUCAAGGUCAAGGUCAAGGUCAAAUUCGCGCUGCAAUUUUGAUAUUAUCCGAUAACCACUAAGGACGGAUCGUGUGAUCAUUCGCAUAUCUAGAUAAAUGAAACGUCAAAAGUCUUUAAAAUAAUUAGGAGUUCAGUUCAAACCACAUGGACUUUUGUAUUUCCCAUAAAUAUUUGCAUUUCGAUCCGAAUACUUCGUCUUUUCGCAUUAAAAGUGUACAAUUUCCAAAAAUAUUCGAAAUUGAGUUACUAUUCAGAAUCAUUUGGUAUCACCAGUAUUUUUUUCAUAAAUGUCAAAAGAGCGUAGUUUAGUUUUAGUAUUUUUUUUUUUUAGUUUACCUAUAUUUUGACUACUAUUAACAAAAUUAAUACAUAAUUUUAUCUUAAUUUAAAAGACAGAUUAUAAUGUAACUGGUAAAAACUAAAAAAUAAAUGUUGCAAAAAUGAUUAAUAUUAAAAAUAUCAUAUGUUAAACCUUUAAAACACUAUCAUUGCAAUAUUUAGUAAGUUUUGAGAUUGUACAGUUUUAAUGCGAGAAGACGAUUUCACUGUUUCCGCUGACUCACACUCACGACAACGAUAUUACUUGCCGAAAUUAAAAAUUUGAAUACAUCGCUAUUAGUUUUUCAACAAGCCUGAAGUAAUUGCUCAAUAGGUAGGUUUACUUGACUGAGUUUUCCAAAGUAUCCCGAAAACUCACUUUUAACAAACUCUUAGAAAUUAAACUUUGUGUAUUUAUUUAUUAAUAAGGGGAAACGCGAUAAUCGCGCUUAAGCCACGUGUGCUACUGUUUAUUCCAAUUAUUUAACUAUUCAAUAAAAAAUGUAAAGCUUAAAGUCGAAUCCUAUUAUUAUUACUAUAGAUAUAUAGCCUUCGCGUAAGUUUAAAUAAUACCUACUAUACUGUAAGUGAUGUGGACAUGUAUAAAUAUAUUGCAAACCACUAUUCAAAAAAGAGACUGUUGAAAUUUAGUAAUCCUUUUUCUUUUGUAAAUUUAGUAUAAUUGAAACAAAAUGCUUUGAAGAAAAUGAGGUUUAUGAGCUAACAACAUUCUGUUUAGUAAUGUGAUAGCGAAUGAAUGUCUUGUAUGAUAUAUUAUUUUAUUGUAAUUUCAAGUAAUUGUAAUAGAUAAUGUUCAUUUUUAAUAACAAAAAAUAAUAAUCACAUUGACUUUAUAAUCCAUGUUAAAUAUAAUUAAGUCAUAUUAUAUUUAAUUAAGUUUAAAAAUAAAAUGUUCUGAAA